GUCUGUGGUCAUACCACCCUGCAUGCGCCUGAUCUUGUCUGAUCUUGGAAUCUUAGCAGGUUGGGCCUGGUUAGUGCUUGGAUGGGAGAUGUGUACUUGAUGGAAAGGCUUUAAAGGUC
rnacentral:rRNA from 1 species